UGUUACGAGAAUUAAGGCGUUUCAGAAGAAAAUUUUUCUGUAUUAUCAAGAAAUAUUCUUUCUCUUUCUCAUUCUUUAUCUUCCUUAUGAGGGAAGGAACACAGCAAUCUAACAAAAGAAAGACAUUAAACUUAAAUAAUUUUGAUACAGAUUGCUUUCCCAUAUCCUUAGCUAUCAUUUUUUUUUAAAAAGAAUAACUAAGAUAUGAGUUAAAAAUCCUAUUAUUUGAGAUAAUACAGUACAGUUUAGGAUUUCCUUUUUCCCUAUUUCUGUUUAUAUAACCUGAUAAGAUAUAUUACCUUACCAUUUAAAUCCUAUCAGUCCAGCACUCUUUACUACAACUGGUUAAUGGGAACUGUAACAAUCUGAGCUCAGUCACAGAGACAGUUGUGUAUUUUCUAGGUAACCAAGGUCUGUUAGCCCUACUAACCAGAUGCUCCUUACCACAUGUAAGGCACUCUAGCAACGUUUCAAAGACACAGCCUACUUAGUUACAUACUGUCCUUGGCCUGGUUAUCUCAGUUACCUUGAGGUCUAUGAAUGAUCUCAAUGGAAAGAUGCUCCUGAAAUGAUACACAAAACUUUGCUUGUGUUAUGGUCUGUGUAGGAAGACUAGUGCUUUUAUUAUCUAAAAAGUCCAUGUUACCUGUUAUGCUCUUCCCUCCCAAAGCUAACGAUUCAUGAUUUAGAAUAUUUUCUGAUAAACAAUUUAUGGUAUUUACCUCACUAAGCACUUUUGAAAAUAACUAAGUCUCUUUCAGUACGUAUUUCAGAAAGCUGUCAAAGGACUAUUAUGUUCUCUCCUGGUGACUAAUGUGAAGCUCCCUGGGCUUUGUCCCUCCCUCUUCCUGGCUUUGUCCUAGGAAAUAUCAGCUACAGAAGCUAAGUAAAUCAGGGGGGAUGUUUUUGCAGGUCUUUUGGGUCAAAAGGAAAGAUGACUUGAGUGAAAAUGACAACAGCAAAAUUAGGAAGUGAUUACUGGGAGUAUCUGGUGGAGAAGCACACAGUGAUGGAAACAGCAUGGUAUGGAUCGAAGUUGGUGAAAUGGACCACGUGCUGAGUUAAGAAGAGGGAAACAAAGUCUAGCUCCAGCUCAGCUACGAAGGUGCUCUACAUGACACAGCUGAUUUCCCGCAGCCUGGUCAGACCAAGAGACGUGCUAAGCUGGGUAACUGCACAUGUGUGUGCAAUGCCCAUGGAGGACAGAACAGGCUGUUGGAUCCCCUGGCACU